rnacentral:rRNA from 1 species
GACGAACGCUGGCGGCGUGCUUAACACAUGCAAGUCGAACGGAAAGGCCCUGCUUUUGUGGGGUGCUCGAGUGGCGAACGGGUGAGUAACACGUGAGUAACCUGCCCUUGACUUUGGGAUAACUUCAGGAAACUGGGGCUAAUACCGGAUAGGAGCUCCUGCUGCAUGGUGGGGGUUGGAAAGUUUCGGCGGUUGGGGAUGGACUCGCGGCUUAUCAGCUUGUUGGUGGGGUAGUGGCUUACCAAGGCCUUGACGGGUAGCCGGCCUGAGAGGGUGACCGGCCACAUUGGGACUGAGAUACGGCCCAGACUCCUACGGGAGGCAGCAGUGGGGAAUAUUGCACAAUGGGCGGAAGCAUGAUGCAGCAACGCCGCGUGCGGGAUGACGGCCUUCGGGUUGUAAACCGCUUUCGCCUGUGACGAAGCGUGAGGGACGGUAAUGGGUAAAGAAGCACCGGCUAACUACGU